UCUUCUCAAUGAUUUUUUAAAUUGCUGUGGUAUUUUGACUAUACAAAGGUAUUGUAAUAAGAUUUUAAUUGAAUGCUAAGAGAAUGGAUUAACAGGGAAACUCUUUCUUAAAUUUAAAAAUUAAAGUUAUUAUUUUUGUGCAGAAACAAAAAUGAAAAUUAAGGACAAGAAGACCCUAAGAAUUUUAAUUUCAAUAAUAUAUUAAAUAUUGUUAUUGAAAUUUAAUUGGGGCGAUUGGAAAAUAUUUUAAACUUUUCUUAAAAAGAAAAAUGAACCAUUAUUAUUGGUAAUAUGAAAAAAUACUCUAGGGAUAACAGCGUAAUAAUUUUUAAUAGUUCAUAUAGAC
rnacentral:rRNA from 1 species